GAGACCAGCCUGAUCAAGAGUGAGACCCCCAUCUCUACCAAACAAAGAAAAAAAAAGAAAGAAAAAAAUGCAACCUUAUGGGCUUUAUCCCUACCAGUAAGAAAGUGACUGUUCAGUGGACAUUUCCUGCAAUGACUAAUUUUCACUGCCCAGGCUACAGUAGGGUAAUCUAGAAGAUCUAUUUCUCCUACCCAAGAAGGAGACAGAUGAACAUGUCACCUUUUUCAGAAGCUUUUCCCAGCCUCUCACAGCCUCCCAGACCAAGAUUAGCACUGAGAAGUCAGCAAAGGAAAGAUGAAGAUAAGCAAUGAAUCACAGCUCUGUUCUGGAUCUGGAAGUCUGGAGUAGGCCAGAAAUGGGUGGGGAGAGUGUGAGCCCUGGUGUUGCCAGGGUGGAGGUGAGGGCUGCAGACUGGCCUAGCUCCGGACGAGCAGACAGGACACGGCUCCAGGAGACACUAAGAGUGCUCCCGAGUGUGUGGGCCAUUCCUUCCACUGGCACCUACCUGAGCAGCAAA